GUGAAGAUGCAGUGUACCCGCGGCAAGACGGAAAGACCCCGUGAACCUUUACUAUAGCUUGACACUGAACAUUGAGCCUUGAUGUGUAGGAUAGGUGGGAGGCUUUGAAGUGUGGACGCCAGUCUGCAUGGAGCCGACCUUGAAAUACCACCCUUUAAUGUUUGAUGUUCUAACGUUGACCCGUAAUCCGGGUUGCGGACAGUGUCUGGUGGGUAGUUUGACUGGGGCGGUCUCCUCCUAAAGAGUAACGGAGGAGCACGAAGGUUGGCUAAUCCUGGUCGGACAUCAGGAGGUUAGUGCAAUGGCAUAAGCCAGCUUGACUGCGAGCGUGACGGCGCGAGCAGGUGCGAAAGCAGGUCAUAGUGAUCCGGUGGUUCUGAAUGGAAGGGCCAUCGCUCAACGGAUAAAAGGUACUCCGGGGAUAACAGGCUGAUACCGCCCAAGAGUUCAUAUCGACGGCGGUGUUUGGCACCUCGAUGUCGGCUCAUCACAUCCUGGGGCUGAAGUAGGUCCCAAGGGUAUGGCUGUUCGCCAUUUAAAGUGGUACGCGAGCUGGGUUUAGAACGUCGUGAGACAGUUCGGUCCCUAUCUGCCGUGGGCGCUGGAGAACUGAGGGGGGCUGCUCCUAGUACGA
rnacentral:rRNA from 1 species